rnacentral:rRNA from 1 species
AGCGCCCCGCAAGGGGAGCGGCGGACGGGUGAGUAACACGUGGGAACAUGCCCUUUGGUUCGGAACAACUCAGGGAAACUUGAGCUAAUACCGAAUGUGCCGGUAACGGGAAAGAUUUAUCGCCAAAGGAUUGGCCCGCGUCCGAUUAGCUAGUUGGUGAGGUAAAGGCUCACCAAGGCUCCGAUCGGUAGCUGGUUUGAGAGAACGACCAGCCACACUGGGACUGAGACACGGCCCAGACUCCUACGGGAGGCAGCAGUGGGGAAUCUUGGACAAUGGGGGAAACCCUGAUCCAGCCAUGCCGCGUGAGUGAUGAAGGCCUUCGGGUUGUAAAACUCUUUCGACGGGGACGAUAAUGACGGUACCCGUAGAAGAAGCUCCGGCUAACUUCGUGCCAGCAGCCGCGGUAAUACGAAGGGGGCUAGCGUUGUUCGGAAUUACUGGGCGUAAAGCGCGCGCAGGCGGCUUCUCAAGUCAGGGGUGAAAGCCCAGAGCUCAACUCUGGAACUGCCCUUGAAACUGUGGAGCUUGAGUACGGUAGAGGUGAGUGGAAUUCCCAGUGUAGAGGUGAAAUUCGUAGAUAUUGGGAAGAACACCGGUGGCGAAGGCGGCUCACUGGACCGUUUCUGACGCUCAUGCGCGACAGCGUG